CUUCUUGGUGACGCGAGUUCCUCGUGGCCCGGUCCUAUCCAGUACACGCCUUUGGUUAGUGAAACGACGCCGUUACCGUAUUUCGACCGGGUCGCUUACACGGUCCAGUUAGAAGGAAUUCGGGUCGGGUCAAAGUUGCUGUCUCUACCUAAAUCUAUGUUCGUACCGGACCAUACCGGGGCAGGUCAGACGAUGGUGGAUUCCGGUACACAAUUCACGUUCCUGAUGGGUCCGGUUUACUCCGCCUUGAAAACCGAGUUUAUGGCGCAAACCAAGGCGGUUCUCAAAGUUGUAGAAGAUCCAAAUUUUGUGUUCCAAGGGACAAUGGACCUCUGUUACCGGGUUCUAAAACUAUUGUUUAGACGUUAAAGUUUUUCACCUAAAAUUCAAAGUUUUUUUCUUUUUGGCUCGGAAUGAUUAGACUAAACCGAAACGAACCGGGAAAGCGUAGUCAAGAGAGAAUAAAACACACAAUAUUGUAUUUAAAGAUGGCAAAGCACGUAACAAACUUAGUAAAGACAUGAUGGCUUCAUCAUCAUCAUCAUCAUCUCUUUCAAAUUUAUCGCUUCAAAUUUCAAUUUUGCUUCUUAUUUUUCCUCUCACGUUCUGCAAGAUAUCUUCUCCAAAUCAAGAACCACUAGUCUUCUCUCUCAAAACCAAGAAUGUUCCACAGUCUUCUUCAGACAAGCUUUCUUUCAGACAUAACGUCACUCUCACCGUUUCUCUCUCCGUGGGCUCUCCACCGCAAAACAUCUCGAUGGUUCUUGACACAGGAAGCGAGCUUUCAUGGCUUCACUGCAAGAAAGCUCCCAACUUAGGAUCCGUGUUUAACCCGGUUUCGUCCUCUUCUUACUCGCCUAUACCUUGCUCCUCGCCUAUUUGCAGGACCCGGACCCGGGACUUGCCCAUACCCGCUUCAUGCGACUCGAAGACCCAUCUUUGCCACGUGGCAGUCUCCUACGCCGACGCUACCUCACUAGAAGGCAGCUUAGCUCACGAGACAUUCGUAAUCGGAUCCUCAGCCCGACCCGGAACUAUAUUCGGGUGCAUGGACUCGGGUUUAAGCUCUGAUUCGGAGGAGGACGCUAAAACAACCGGUUUAAUGGGAAUGAACCGGGGCUCUUUAUCGUUUGUUAACCAGCUGGGUUUCUCAAAAUUCUCUUAUUGCAUAUCCGGUUCAGACUCCUCCGGUAUUCUGCUUCUUGGUGACGCGAGUUCCUCGUGGCCCGGUCCUAUCCAGUACACGCCUUUGGUUAGUGAAACGACGCCGUUACCGUAUUUCGACCGGGUCGCUUACACGGUCCAGUUAGAAGGAAUUCGGGUCGGGUCAAAGUUGCUGUCUCUACCUAAAUCUAUGUUCGUACCGGACCAUACCGGGGCAGGUCAGACGAUGGUGGAUUCCGGUACACAAUUCACGUUCCUGAUGGGUCCGGUUUACUCCGCCUUGAAAACCGAGUUUAUGGCGCAAACCAAGGCGGUUCUCAAAGUUGUAGAAG
rnacentral:lncRNA from 1 species